rnacentral:rRNA from 1 species
GACGAACGCUGGCGGCGUGCUUAACACAUGCAAGUCGAACGGAAAGGCCCUGCUUUUGUGGGGUGCUCGAGUGGCGAACGGGUGAGUAACACGUGAGUAACCUGCCCUUGACUUUGGGGUAACUUCAGGAAACUGGGGCUAAUACCGGAUAGGAGCUCCUGCUGCAUGGUGGGGGUUGGAAAGUUUCGGCGGUUGGGGAUGGACUCGCGGCUUAUCAGCUUGUUGGUGGGGUAGUGGCUUACCAAGGCUUUGACGGGUAGCCGGCCUGAGAGGGUGCCCGGCGACAUGGGGCCUGAUGUCGGCCCGAGACGCCAAGGGGGGGCAGAGGGGGGAAGUUUGCAACAGGGGGCGAGAGUGGGAUGCAGCAACCCCGGGGGGGGAAUGCCGGCUUGGGGGUAAAAAACCGCUUCCGCCUGGGACAAAGCUGGGGUGACGGUAAGGGAAAAAGAAGCACCGGCUAGCUACGUG